GAUGAAGAUCCAGUGCUUCCUAAAAUCUUAUGUAGUUACUUUCCAUGGAAUCAGCAAUAGUCCAUUGAACAGAGUUAAUGCUGAUCAAAUACUGUGUAUGACUGGUGUCAAAACUUGUUCCACUGGUCUCACAGAUUUUUACAGCCAAAGUGGCUGACCCACACCUUCUUGGAAAACACAUGUGUAUCUUUAUUUCCACAAUAACACUGGGUGUGGGUCAAACCAUUUUCCCAUAGUGACAUCUUUCCAUAGCACUUUGCUAGUUACUCCUCUUUGGUGACUAGUGCCCUUUCAUGGCAGAGACACCAUCUCCCAUACAAUUACAAAUUUUUAAUGUAAACAAGGCCUUGUUUAGAUAAUUGGAAGGGCUAGAGCCUCCCCCCUAUUAGUGUUUCUAACUAUUGUUUGAGACAUCUGUUGGCUCUUUCUACAUUAGCCUGUCCCUGGGGGUUAUAUGGAAUGCUUAUGUUGUAAGCUACUUUAUGUUAAGCACAAAAGUUUUCAAUGCAGAAGAGAUAUAGGAGGAUUGUCCAUAUUAAGAUCCCAUGGAUAGUCCACAAGGCCAUUGAGGAAAGGCAAUGAGUAGUGAUAUGUUUUGCAGACAUUCCUGUUGAGUAGAGGCAUAAACAAAAUGAGAACAGGUAUCAACAGCAAUGUUUUAGUUAGGGUUUUAUUACUGUGAAGAGACCCCGUGACCAAGGCAACUCUUAUAAAGGUAAACAUUCAGUUGAAGCUGGCUUACAGUUGCAGGAGUUCAGUCCAUUAUCAUCAUGGUGAGAAACAUGGCAUCAUACAGGCAGACUUGAUGACAAAGGAGCCAAGAGUUCUAAGUGAUCCAAAGGCAGACAGGAGGAGGGUCUGAAUCACAAUGGCCAGACUUGAGCAUAUGUAUGAGACCUCAAAGCCCCGCCUCCACAGUGACCCACCUCCUCUAAUAAGGUCACACCUCCUCCAAUAAGGUCACACCUAAUAGUGCCACUUCUUAUGGCCAAGAAUAUUCAAACCACCAUAAGAAACAUGAAUAAACUCUACUCUCCUGGAAAGAAAGCGACACGAGGCCCAACUAUCUGCCAAAGAGCACUGGAGCAU
rnacentral:lncRNA from 1 species